GGGAACCAGGGUCAAAAGCCAGACAGUCCUAUAGUUUCAGUGCCCCUGAAUACAUACGGUAUCUGUCUUGUUUAUGACAUCGUACCAUUGGAAUAUAUUGUCGUCUUCCCAGGUGAUUAUUUGCACCGAUGGAAAGGCCUACACAGACCUGGGGAAUCUGGAGGUGGAGGACAACAAUCAAGUUCGAUAUUUCCUCUACUCCACCAUCUUCUACCAAGACCUGGGCGAGUAUGCUGCUAGUCAGGGUGACAGUGGCAGUGUUGGCUAUUGAGGGGAAAGACUGCAGACUUGAUGAGCAGGGGAGACCAGCAGAUCAUACAGGCGGAAAGGUGGUGAUAGCAAGCUAUAUAUAUAGCAAGCUAUAUGAACUACACACUGAAUUUGAGAUUAUAGAGAACAGGACGAUAGCUACACAUUGUAGUGUGAAUUUGCUGCUCCCAACAACUCUAAGUGUUGAAUUACACAUCGGUAUAUUCAUUUGUAUUUACAAAUAUAGUAUAUGUACAGUGGGUGGGAAAAGUAUUUAGUCAGCCACCAAUUGUGCAAGU